AUAUAUAUAUAUGACAAAAUACACAAUCCAGCGCACUCGCUUAUUCACUAAACAAUGAGUUCAAAUCUUAGAGAUUCAAAUAUGUAAGAUUUGAAAUCCUUGUUUAGUGAAUAAGCGAGUGCGCUGGAUUGUGUAUUUUGUAUAUAU